UCCCUGGUGGCUCAGACAUUAAAGCGUCUGCCUGCAAUGCAGGAGGCCCAGGUUCGAUUUCUGGGUUGGGAA
rnacentral:tRNA from 1 species